AUUGAACGCUGGCGGCAUGCCUUACACAUGCAAGUCGAACGGUAACAGGUCUUCGGAUGCUGACGAGUGGCGAACGGGUGAGUAAUGCAUCGGAACGUGCCCAGUUGUGGGGGAUAACUGCUCGAAAGAGCAGCUAAUACCGCAUACGACCUGAGGGUGAAAGCGGGGGAUCGCAAGACCUCGCGCAAUUGGAGCGGCCGAUGUCAGAUUAGGUAGUUGGUGGGGUAAAGGCCUACCAAGCCGACGAUCUGUAGUUGGUCUGAGAGGACGACCAGCCACACUGGGACUGAGACACGGCCCAGACUCCUACGGGAGGCAGCAGUGGGGAAUUUUGGACAAUGGGCGCAAGCCUGACCCAGCAAUGCCGCGUGCAGGAAGAAGGCCUUCGGGUUGUAAACUGCUUUUGUCAGGGAAGAAAUCCUCUGGGUUAAUACCCCGGGGGGAUGACGGUACCUGAAGAAUAAGCACCGGCUAACUACGUGCCAGCCGCCGCUGUAACAC
rnacentral:rRNA from 1 species